UCCAUAUUUUCACAAAAUUUCCAAUUCGUUAUAUUAUAAAUUCGUCCGUUUGUUUAUAUUCGCAUAAAUUAUAUAUUAUUGCUGCCGCAGGCAGCUUCCUAUUCUUGUGAUUUGUUCCCAGACCUCUUUACCGAGCUAUAUGAAUGCGACAAUGAUUUGGAUUUAGCAAUGUUUGGAUGUUCAGUUUUAUGACGUUUUGUGACGUAGAAGAUUCGACGGGUCUUUUACGGAAGCUACCGGCUGCUCUUCGGGACUUGCCAAGAUUUAGCACGAGGGGGGUGUAUUUUAUACAAGUUGGCAAGACUGUAUUUAGCGAAUAUUGCGAUUUUUAAGUCAUUUAUUUAAGGUAAGAUCAAAGCAUUAUCUACGAUCCUUUUAGUUUACAGUAAGAAGAAUUUUUACGAUUUGUUCUUCUCUUUAUAUAGGCCCGCGUUUGAUAUUUAUAUAAACCUGUGGCUGUGUAUAUUUGGUGUUGGGAAUCAUUGUAUUCACGCUGAUCAAUAUAUCGAUCAGACACUUUGCGUGUUGGUCACGGUGUGGCAACAGGCAACUCAAAUAAAAUUCACAUCAAUUCUAAACAAACAAACGGAAACAAACGAGAGCCAUUGUGUUCUUUACCAUCGAAACAAACGAGAGCCAUUGUGUUCUUUACCAUCAAACGUACAAUAUAAAUAGCAAAGCAUUGUCGCUGAAACACAAACGAAGGUUCACGUGACUCAGAGCUACAGUAUAAAAACUGCAAAUUUUACAUACUUCUAUUGCCGAUAGAGCAAGUCGCAAGUCGCAGUGAUAGAAUAUAAAGUAUCCGUACAGGUAAGACCUUGUUUGUUUGUUUGUUAAACUGAACAUUUGGAUGGGGGUAACAAUUGAGCAAUAUCGUGCCCGAAUUGGCGCACAUUUUAAUAGCUAUAGUGUGAGAAGCAAUGAUCUAUCAGGCAUCAAACGUCCUUUUCUCAAUAAUAUAAACAUGUUGAUGUUAUAUCUCCGGCUGGUAAUGAA
rnacentral:lncRNA from 1 species